CACAAAUAUGAAGGCGGGCUGGAACCUCUCGGGGUUACAGCCUUGCUGAAUUAUUCACCCUUGUCUUUUGCGUACUUCUUGUUUCCUUGGUGGGUUCGCCCACCACUAGGACAAACAUAAACCUUUUGUAAUUGCAAUCAGCGUCAGUAACAAAUUAAUAAUUG
rnacentral:misc_RNA from 1 species